UGCUAUACAUGCAGUCGAACGCUUCUUUUUCCACCGGAGCUUGCUCCACCGGAAAAAGAGGAGUGGCGAACGGGUGAGUAACACGUGGGUAACCUGCCCAUCAGAAGGGGAUAACACUUGGAAACAGGUGCUAAUACCGUAUAACAAUCGAAACCGCAUGGUUUUGAUUUGAAAGGCGCUUUCGGGUGUCGCUGAUGGAUGGACCCGCGGUGCAUUAGCUAGUUGGUGAGGUAACGGCUCACCAAGGCGACGAUGCAUAGCCGACCUGAGAGGGUGAUCGGCCACAUUGGGACUGAGACACGGCCCAAACUCCUACGGGAGGCAGCAGUAGGGAAUCUUCGGCAAUGGACGAAAGUCUGACCGAGCAACGCCGCGUGAGUGAAGAAGGUUUUCGGAUCGUAAAACUCUGUUGUUAGAGAAGAACAAGGAUGAGAGUAACUGUUCAUCCCUUGACGGUAUCUAACCAGAAAGCCACGGCUAACUACGUGCCAGCAGCCGCGGUAAUACGUAGGUGGCAAGCGUUGUCCGGAUUUAUUGGGCGUAAAGCGAGCGCAGGCGGUUUCUUAAGUCUGAUGUGAAAGCCCCCGGCUCAACCGGGGAGGGUCAUUGGAAACUGGGAGACUUGAGUGCAGAAGAGGAGAGUGGAAUUCCAUGUGUAGCGGUGAAAUGCGUAGAUAUAUGGAGGAACACCAGUGGCGAAGGCGGCUCUCUGGUCUGUAACUGACGCUGAGGCUCGAAAGCGUGGGGAG
rnacentral:rRNA from 1 species